UGGGGAAUUUUGGACAAUGGGCGCAAGCCUGAUCCAGCCAUGCCGCGUGAGUGAAGAAGGCCUGGUUGUAAAGCUCUUUCGGCCGGGAAGAAAUCGUGGUCUCUAACAUAGGCCAUGGAUGACGGUACCGGACUAAGAAGCACCGGCUAACUACGUGCC
rnacentral:rRNA from 1 species